rnacentral:rRNA from 1 species
UACGUAGGUGACAAGCGUUAUCCGGAUUUAUUGGGCGUAAAGCGCACGCAGGCGGUCUAUCAAGUCUGACGUGAAAUCUCUCGGCUUAACCGGGAGCGGUCGUUGGAAACUGAUGGACUUGAGGCGAUGAGAGGGGUGUGGAAUUCAUGGUGUAGCAGUGAAAUGCGUAGAGAUCAUGAGGAAGACCAGUGGCGAAGGCGGGUCUCUGGACAGUUCCUGACACUGAGGCACGAAGGCCAGGGGAGCAAACGGG